rnacentral:rRNA from 1 species
GCAAGUCGAGCGGUAGCACAGAGAGCUUGCUCUCGGGUGACGAGCGGCGGACGGGUGAGUAAUGUCUGGGAAACUGCCUGAUGGAGGGGGAUAACUACUGGAAACGGUAGCUAAUACCGCAUAAUGUCGCAAGACCAAAGUGGGGGACCUUCGGGCCUCAUGCCAUCAGAUGUGCCCAGAUGGGAUUAGCUAGUAGGUGGGGUAACGGCUCACCUAGGCGACGAUCCCUAGCUGGUCUGAGAGGAUGACCAGCCACACUGGAACUGAGACACGGUCCAGACUCCUACGGGAGGCAGCAGUGGGGAAUAUUGCACAAUGGGCGCAAGCCUGAUGCAGCCAUGCCGCGUGUAUGAAGAAGGCCUUCGGGUUGUAAAGUACUUUCAGCGGGGAGGAAGGCGAUAAGGUUAAUAACCUUGUCGAUUGACGUUACCCGCAGAAGAAGCACCGGCUAACUCCGUGCCAGCAGCCGCGGUAAUACGGAGGGUGCAAGCGUUAAUCGGAAUUACUGGGCGUAAAGCGCACGCAGGCGGUCUGUCAAGUCGGAUGUGAAAUCCCCGGGCUCAACCUGGGAACUGCAUUCGAAACUGGCAGGCUAGAGUCUUGUAGAGGGGGGUAGAAUUCCAGGUGUAGCGGUGAAAUGCGUAGAGAUCUGGAGGAAUACCGGUGGCGAAGGCGGCCCCCUGGACAAAGACUGACGCUCAGGUGCGAAAGCGUGGGGAGCAAACAGGAUUAGAUACCCUGGUAGUCCACGCCGUAAACGAUGUCGAUUUGGAGGUUGUGCCCUUGAGGCGUGGCUUCCGGAGCUAACGCGUUAAAUCGACCGCCUGGGGAGUACGGCCGCAAGGUUAAAACUCAAAUGAAUUGACGGGGGCCCGCACAAGCGGUGGAGCAUGUGGUUUAAUUCGAUGCAACGCGAAGAACCUUACCUGGUCUUGACAUCCACAGAACUUAGCAGAGAUGCUUUGGUGCCUUCGGGAACUGUGAGACAGGUGCUGCAUGGCUGUCGUCAGCUCGUGUUGUGAAAUGUUGGGUUAAGUCCCGCAACGAGCGCAACCCUUAUCCUUUGUUGCCAGCGGUCCGGCCGGGAACUCAAAGGAGACUGCCAGUGAUAAACUGGAGGAAGGUGGGGAUGACGUCAAGUCAUCAUGGCCCUUACGACCAGGGCUACACACGUGCUACAAUGGCAUAUACAAAGAGAAGCGACCUCGCGAGAGCAAGCGGACCUCAUAAAGUAUGUCGUAGUCCGGAUUGGAGUCUGCAACUCGACUCCAUGAAGUCGGAAUCGCUAGUAAUCGUAGAUCAGAAUGCUACGGUGAAUACGUUCCCGGGCCUUGUACACACCGCCCGUCACACCAUGGGAGUGGGUUGCAAAAGAAGUAGGUAGCUUAACCUUCGGGAGGGC